rnacentral:rRNA from 1 species
GAUGAACGCUGGCGGCGUGCCUAAUACAUGCAAGUCGAGCGAACAGACGAGGAGCUUGCUCUUCUGACGUUAGCGGCGGACGGGUGAGUAACACGUGGAUAACCUACCUAUAAGACUGGGAUAACUUCGGGAAACCGGAGCUAAUACCGGAUAAUAUUUUGAACCGCAUGGUUCAAUAGUAAAAGACGGUCUUGCUGUCACUUAUAGAUGGAUCCGCGCUGCAUUAGCUAGUUGGUAAGGUAACGGCCUACCAAGGCAACGAUGCGUAGCCGACCUGACAGGGUGAUCGGCGACACUGGAAGGGAGACACGGUCCAGACGCCUACGGGAGGCAGCAGUAGGGAAUCGGCCGCAAUGGGCGAAAGCCUGACGGAGCAACGCCGCGUGAGUGAUGAAGGUCUUCGGAUCGUAAAACUCUGUUAUUAGGGAAGAACAGAUGUGUAAGUAACUGUGCACAUCUUGACGGUACCUAAUCAGAAAGCCACGGCUAACUACGUG